rnacentral:rRNA from 1 species
UGAGGAAUAUUGCACAAUGGGCGAAAGCCUGAUGCAGCAACGCCGCGUGGAGGAUGACGCAUUUCGGUGUGUAAACUCCUUUUAUGAGUCAAGAAAAUGACGGUAGCUCAUGAAUAAGCACCGGCUAACUCCGUGCCAGCAGCCGCGGUAAUACGGAGGGUGCAAGCGUUACUCGGAAUCACUGGGCGUAAAGGACGCGUAGGCUGGUCGUCAAGUCAGAUGUGAAAUCCAAUGGCUCAACCAUUGAACUGCAUUUGAAACUGACAACCUAGAGUAUGGGAGGGGGAGAUGGAAUUAGUGGUGUAGGGGUAAAAUCCGUAGAUAUCACUAGGAAUACCGAAAGCGAAGGCGAUCUCCUGGAACAUUACUGACGCUGAGGCGUGAAAGCGUGGGGAGCAAACAGG